GUGUGUAGCUCAGCGGUAGAGUACUCACCUAGCACGUGUGAGGCCCUAAGUUCAAUCCUCAGAACCACAUA
rnacentral:tRNA from 1 species